AGUGAACGCUGGCGGUAUGCUUAACACAUGCAAGUCGAACGCGAAAGCUUCUUCGGAGGCAAGUAGAGUGGCGCACGGGUGAGUAACGCGUAGAUAAUCUACCUCCUAAUCUGGAACAACCUUUCGAAAGGAAGGCUAAAUACCGGAUAAGAUUUUAACUCUGGUGAGUUUAAAUUAAAAGAUUUAUCGUUAGGAGAUGAGUCUGCGUACCAUUAGCUAGUUGGUGGGGUAACGGCCUACCAAGGCGACGAUGGUUAGCGGGUCUGAGAGGAUGAUCCGCCACACUGGAACUGAGACACGGUCCAGACUCCUACGGGAGGCAGCAGUGAGGAAUUUUGCGCAAUGGGCGAAAGCCUGACGCAGCAAUACCGCGUGA
rnacentral:rRNA from 1 species